rnacentral:rRNA from 1 species
UACGGGGGGAGCAAGCGUUGUUCGGAUUUACUGGGCGUAAAGGGCGCGUAGGCGGUCGUGACAAGUCACUUGUGAAAUCUCCGGGCUUAACUCGGAACGGUCAAGUGAUACUGUCGGACUAGAGUACAGAAGGGGCAACUGGAAUUCUUGGUGUAGCGGUGAAAUGCGUAGAUAUCGAGAGGAACACCUGCGGCGAAGGCGGGUUGCUGGGCUGAUACUGACGCUGAGGCGCGAAAGCCAGGGGAGCGAACGGG